UAUGUAUGUGUUAUAAUAUCGUUAUGUAUGUGCGUCUCACAAGAGGUUCCAUUCGUUUUGCUUAUACAGUUCGCUUCUUUACUUUUUUUUUUUUUCACCCGUCGCUACGUAGGCUGUACAAAGAAUAUAUCGAAAAAGAGGACUCGCCAAACUACAACUGGCUAGUUCGUUGCUUCUGUCAGUUAGCUAACGUAUUCGGCUUUAAUUCCUUUUGGAGCGUGAAAGAUAAACAAUCAAUUCACGAGUUAAAAUUAUUUAAAUAUAUGGUAUAUGAUUUGAUCGAAAAUAAACAAUUUAUAAAAAGUAGGCACUGUCCUAGAUUAUUGUAUGCAAUGUGCUGUUUAGAUUAUAGAUGCCAUUUUCUUCUACCAACAAUCCUGGAAUUGAUAGAAAUGAAUUUAACAGAAUACCGAGUACCGACUUUGUGUAUGACCGCUUUCUGUUUGUCAUACCUAGGUUUACUAAACAAAGAUAUACAAUUUGGAAAUGGAAAUAAUUUAUCGAGAAGUUAUAAUUUAAUAACAAAAAUAAUAGAUAUUAUACAUAAAAAAAAAGAAGAAGCACAAAAAGACACAACUAACUUUUGUUGGUCUUUAUUAGCUUAUGUAUUAGUUUUAAAUAAUAUGUAUGAAUACCCUUGUACUCCUAACAGUUUUAUGUGCGAUAUUUUAAAAAAUGCAUGUUCAGGCUUAACGAAAGAAAAUUUACCAGAAUCUGGGUGGAUCCAAUAUUUUUUAUAUAUGACUCUUUACUGUUGUGAUGUUGAAAAGCCAUUAAAUGAAAAAAGUAUUAAAGAGUCAAUCCCUUUUUUUAUUCAGGAAUAUUUACAUUUAAAAUGGCUAGAUAAUAUAUUAAUAACUGCCCAAAAUCAAGGUUCUGAAAAAAUACAACUAGAAAUGGAAAAUAUCAUACAAAAAUUACAAAUAAAAGAUUUUUUUAUUAAUUUAUCAGUUGGUAGAAAAAUUGAUGAGCAGCACUGUUUUUUCGCAUCUCAUUUUUAUAAACCUUUAAACUUAUGCAUAGAAUAUGACUAUUUUCACCCGAUAGGUUUAAACAGACCAUUAGUCAAUGGCAUUGUGUCAUUAAAAAACCGUAUUUUUAAAAAAUUAGAUUUUAAUGUUGUUAAUAUUCAUAAGUGUUAUUGGGAUGUGUUAACAAAUGAACAAAAAGAAUCGCAGUUAAUAAAAAUUAUCGAAACGUUUAAAAAUAAACAAGGCAUAAAGCAUAUGAAACAAUCGAAGGACUUAUAUGAAGAUAAACAGUUUGAUUCGGAUAUUAUUCAUUUGAAGCAUAAACGUGUGAAAUAUCAUACAUGGCCUCCAGAAAAUUUAGUAGUAUAAAAUGGGCCAACAUACUGUGUAUUUACAUAUACAUAUAUAUAUGUAUAUAUAUACAUAUGUAUAUGUACGUGUAUAUGUUGAGUCACAUAAUUUUUUUAUCAAACCAGUACCAUUAUUACGACAUUACUUACUCGAUUAGUGUACCUCUUUUUACCAUGUCAUUUUUUUUUUUGAAAUACUAUUUCGUGUCUUAACCUUAUUUAUUUUGAUUUUUUUCUUUUUAAUUAAUAAAAUAUAUCACGUUCUUUAUAUACA
ensembl:lncRNA